rnacentral:rRNA from 1 species
UCAGGCCUAACACAUGCAAGUCGAACGGCAGCACGGGUGCUUGCACCUGGUGGACGAGUGGCGAACGGGUGAGUAAUAUAUCGGAACGUGCCCUAGAGUGGGGGAUAACGUAGCGAAAGUUACGCUAAUACCGCAUACGAUCUACGGAUGAAAGUGGGGGACCGCAAGGCCUCACGCUCCUGGAGCGGCCGAUAUCUGAUUAGCUAGUUGGUGGGGUAAAAGCCUACCAAGGCGACGAUCAGUAGCUGGUCUGAGAGGACGACCAGCCACACUGGGACUGAGACACGGCCCAGACUCCUACGGGAGGCAGCAGUGGGGAAUUUUGGACAAUGGGGGCAACCCUGAUCCAGGAAGGCCGCGUGUGUGAAGAAGGCCUUCGGGUGUAAAGCAAUGUGCCAGGAACGAAACGGUGGGGGCUAAUAUCCUCUGCAAUGAC